rnacentral:tRNA from 1 species
GUCUGUCUGGCUCAGUUGGUAGAGCAUGUGGUUCUUGAUCUCAAGGUCAUGGGUUCAAGCCCCAUGUUGGGUG